rnacentral:rRNA from 1 species
AUUGAACGCUAGCGGGAUGCCUUACACAUGCAAGUCGAACGGAGUGGCGAACGUGUGAGUAAUGUAUCCGAACGUGCCCAGUAGCGGGGGAUAACUACGCUAAAGCGUAGCUAAUACCGCAUACUAUUUGAGCGGCCGAUAUCGGAUUAUAUAGUUGGUGGGGUAACGGCUCACCAAGGCGACGAUCCUUAGCUGGUUUGAGAGGACGACCAGCCACACUGUGACGAAGACACGGCCCAGACUCCUACGGGAGGCAGCAGUGGGGAAUGGGGGACAAUGGGGGAAGCCCUGAUCCAGCCAUCCGGCGUGUGCGAUGAAGGCCUUCGGGUUGUAAAGAACUUUUGGCAGGAAAGCGGUACCUGCAGAAUAAGCACCGGCUAACUACGUGCCAGCAGCCGCGGUAAUAC